UACGGGGGGAGCAAGCGUUGUUCGGAUUUACUGGGCGUAAAGGGCGCGUAGGCGGUCGUGACAAGUCACUUGUGAAAUCUCCGGGCUUAACUCGGAACGGUCAAGUGAUACUGUCGGACUAGAGUACAGAAGGGGCAACUGGAAUUCUCGGUGUAGCGGUGAAAUGCGUAGAGAUCGGCAGGAACACCCAGGGAGAAAUCAGUGGACUGGCACGGUGCUGACGCUCAGGUGCGAAAGCGUGGGGAGCGAACCGG
rnacentral:rRNA from 1 species